rnacentral:rRNA from 1 species
CCUACGGGUGGCAGCAGUGGGGAAUAUUGCACAAUGGAGGAAACUCUGAUGCAGCGACGCCGCGUGAGUGAAGAAGUAUUUCGUUAUGUAAAGCUCUAUUAGCAGGGAAGAAAAUGACGGUAUCUGCGUUAGAAGCCCCGGCUAACUACGGGCCAGCAGCCGCGGUAAUAUGCAGGGGGCAAGCGUUAUCCGGAUUUACUGGGUGUAAAGGGAGCGUAGAGGGGAGUGCACGUCUGGAGUGAAAGGUGGGGGCUCAACCCCCGAACUGCCCUUGAAACUGUACGGCUUGAGUGCAGGAGAGGUAAGUGGAAUUCCUUGUGUAGCGGUGAAAUGCGUAGAUAUUAGGAAGAACACCAGUGGCGAAGGCGGCUUACUGGACUGUAACUGACGUUGAGGCGCGAAAGCGUGGGGAGCAAACAGGAUUAGAUACCCGGGUAGUC